GACGAACGCUGGCGGCGUGCUUAACACAUGCAAGUCGAACGGAAAGGCCCUGCUUUUGUGGGGUGCUCGAGUGGCGAACGGGUGAGUAACACGUGAGUAACCUGCCCUUGACUUUGGGAUAACUUCAGGAAACUGGGGCUAAUACCGGAUAGGAGCUCCUGCUGCAUGGUGGGGGUUGGAAAGUUUCGGCGGUUGGGGAUGGACUCGCGGCUUAUCAGCUUGUUGGUGGGGUAGUGGCUUACCAAGGCUUUGACGGGUAGCCGGCCUGAGAGGGUGACCGGCCACAUUGGGACUGAGAUACGGCCCAGACUGCUACGGGGGGCAGCAGUGGGGAAUAUUGCACAAUGGGCGGAAGCCUGAGGCAGCAACGCCGCGUGCGGGAUGACGGCCUUCGGGUUGUAAACCGCUUUCGCCUGUGACGAAGCGUGAGUGACGGUAAUGGGUAAAGAAGCACCGGCUAACUACGUG
rnacentral:rRNA from 1 species